rnacentral:rRNA from 1 species
CAGUCGCCGCGGUAAUACGUAGGUGGCAAGCGUUGUCCGGAAUUAUUGGGCGUAAAGGGCUCGCAGGCGGUUUCUUAAGUCUGAUGUGAAAGCCCCCGGCUCAACCGGGGAGGGUCAUUGGAAACUGGGAAACUUGAGUGCAGAAGAGGAGAGUGGAAUUCCACGUGUAGCGGUGAAAUGCGUAGAGAUGUGGAGGAACACCAGUGGUGAAGGCGACUCUCUGGUCUGUAACUGACGCUGAGGAGCGAAAGCGUGGGGAGCGAACAGGAUUAGAUACCCGUGUAGUCCCUGUCUCUUAUAA